rnacentral:ncRNA from 1 species
CAAACGGCCCUUUUCAGGGCCACCAAAAAUUUUCAAAAAGAAUCAU